rnacentral:tRNA from 1 species
GUCUUUGUAGUAUAACUAAAUAUCCCGGUUUUGUAAACCGGAGAAGGAGACAAACCACACCUCCCUAAGACU